rnacentral:rRNA from 1 species
UACGGAGGGGACUAGCGUUGUUCGGAAUUACUGGGCGUAAAGCGCACGUAGGCGGAUUUGUAAGUCAGGGGUGAAAUCCCGGGGCUCAACCUCGGAACUGCCUUUGAUACUGCAAAUCUCGAGUCCGGAAGAGGUGAGUGGAAUUCCUAGUGUAGAGGUGAAAUGCGCAGAUAUCAGGAGGAACACCGAUGGCGAAGGCAGGUCUCUGGGCAUUAACUGACGCUGAGGAGCGAAAGCAUGGGGAGCGAACAGG